rnacentral:rRNA from 1 species
AUUGAACGCUGGCGGCAGGCCUAAUACAUGCAAGUCGAACGAGUGGCGGACGGGUGAGUAAUGUAUGGGAACCUGCCUGAUGGACGGGGAUAACUAAUGGAAACGGUAGCUAAUACUGCAUACCAUCCGUUGUGCCCAGACGGGAUUAGGUUGUUGGUGGUGUAACGGCUCACCAGGGCGACGAUCCCCAGCUGGUCUGAGAGGCGGACCAGCCACACUGGAACUGAGAAACGGGCCAGACUCCUACGGGAGGCAGCAGUGGGGAAUAUUGCGCAAUGGGCGCAAGCCUGAUGGAGCCAUGCCGCGUGUAUGAAGAAGGCCUUCGGGUUGUAAAGUACUUUCAGCGGGGAGGCGUUACCCACAGAAGAAGCACCGGCUAACUACGUGCCAGCAGCCGCGGUAAUUC